GACACUUCGCAAAGAUUUGAAAGCUGCUACUGCUGGCCGUGCUAAAGAUACUGAAGAUCUGAAGAGCCAGCUAGCUAGCAAGAAAGGGCACGUAGCCUCGCUUGAGGCUACGAUAGUGGAGUUAAAGAAGCAAGCUGCUCAGAGCCAACGAGAAACCACUGAGCUGAAAAGCGAGCUCGCGAGUGCGGAAGAAGAGGUUCUAGCUCUUAAAGGUGACAAUGCCGCACUUGCUGGAAAGGCUGCAGGAUUGGAUUUGGAUGUGCGCUACCAAUCCGACCAGCUUCAAGAGCUCAUAUUCUUUGGU
rnacentral:lncRNA from 1 species